rnacentral:rRNA from 1 species
UACGGGGGGGGCAAGCGUUGUUCGGAAUUACUGGGCGUAAAGGGCUCGUAGGUGGCCAACUAAGUCAGACGUGAAAUCCCUCGGCUUAACCGGGGAACUGCGUCUGAUACUGGACGGCUUGAGUUUGGGAGAGGGACGCGGAAUUCCAGGUGUAGCGGUGAAGUGCGUAGAUAUCUGGAGGAACACCGGUGGCGAAGGCGGCGUCCUGGACCAACACUGACACUGAGGAGCGAAAGCCAGGGGAGCAAACGGG